rnacentral:lncRNA from 1 species
GAGUGACUGAGGGCAAGAAGGAAGAGCCAAGAUUCUGUCUACAUGUGUUACCAGAGAUGUCUCCAAGAGCACCAGCAACCCCAGCUAUCUGGAUCUGAAGUGGAUCUGCUCAGAGACAUCCUGGCCCACCCCAAAGAAGAUGCUGCUGCACUCAGAAGACGCCAGAGCUAGCCACCACCCACACUGCAAGUCUGGAAGCUCUGCCAGGACCCAGCAAGGCAGCCUGCUCAGCGAAGGCUUUGUCUCCUGUGGCAGGAAGAGCAACAUUAAGAACAAGAACCCCGGGCUGGACUACCCUUGAGAUUUAAUGACCAGAGCUGAGACCCCCAAGACCACAAUGACUAUGGAGGGCUGUCAUUACCUUGCCUGACCCUCUAAUGCAUCUCAGUUCAUGGAGGCCACUGAGUGAAACCGAAGGCUGGUUUUCCUUGGAAGCCAGCGGCCCAUCCACCUGCUCCACUUCCCUGCCUCUUGCAGCCUCUGCUCAAACACUGUCGUGGCUUGGCAGCACUACAAGGCAGAGUGAAAACAGAUACUUCUGCCCACAUUCCUAUCUCCUCUCAUUUACGCAGAUUAAAUGCUUUCUUUCCU